ACUACGCAUAGGUGACAGUGGCGGRCGUUGGAGCGCUCCSUGAGUGCGGCGGACGGGUGAGUAACACGUGGGUAACCUGCCUGUAAGACUGGGAUAACUCCGGGAAACCGGGGCUAAUACCGGAUGGUUGUUUGAACCGCAUGGUUCAAACAUAAAAGGUGGCUUGGCUACCACUUACAGAUGGACCCGCGGCGCAUUAGCUAGUUGGUGAGGUAACGGCUCACCAAGGCRACGAUGCGUAGCCGACCUGAGAGGGUGAUCGGCCACACUGGGACUGAGACACGGCCCAGACUCCUACGGGAGGCAGCAGUAGGGAAUCUUCCGCAAUGGACGAAAGUCUGACGGAGCAACGCCGCGUGAGUGAUGAAGGUUUUCGGAUCGUAAAGCUCUGUUGUUAGGGAAGAACAAGUACCGUUCGAAUAGGGCGGUACCUUGACGGUACCUAACCAGAAAGCCACGGCUAACUACGUGCCAGCAGCCGCGGUAAUACGUAGGUGGCAAGCGUUGUCCGGAAUUAUUGGGCGUAAAGGGCUCGCAGGCGGUUUCUUAAGUCUGAUGUGAAAGCCCCCGGCUCAACCGGGGAGGGUCAUUGGAAACUGGGGAACUUGAGUGCAGAAGAGGAGAGUGGAAUUCCACGUGUAGCGGUGAAAUGCGUAGAGAUGUGGAGGAACACCAGUGGCGAAGGCGACUCUCUGGUCUGUAACUGACGCUGAGGAGCGAAAGCGUGGGGAGCGAACAGGAUUAGAUACCCUGGUAGUCCACGCCGUAAACGAUGAGUGCUAAGUGUUAGGGGGUUUCCGCCCCUUAGUGCUGCAGCUAACGCAUUAAGCACUCCGCCUGGGGAGUACGGUCGCAAGACUGAAACUCAAAGGAAAUUGACGGGGGCCCGCACAGCKGUGGAGCAUGUGGUUUAAUUCGAAGCAACGCGAAGAAACCUUACCAGGUCUUGACAUCUCUGACAAUCCUAGAGAUAGGACGUCCCCCUUCGGGGGCGAGCUGACAGGUUGGCUGCAUGAUGUCGUUCAGCUUCGUGAUCGAUGGAGCAUGCCUG
rnacentral:rRNA from 1 species